rnacentral:ribozyme from 12 species
UAUUUUUUACCUUCACAUUCGUGUAAAUAUCUCCGCCCUUUGAAGAAACUGUCGAAAGCAAAUGAUUGGCCAAAAAUUUCCAACCGCCUUUCGGGUAAAAUAACCCG